UUAAGUUAAUAAGGGCGCACGGUGGAUGCCUUGGCACUAGAAGCCGAUGAAGGACGUGACUAACGACGAAAUGCUUUGGGGAGUUGUAAGUAAACAUUGAUCCAGAGAUGUCCGAAUGGGAGAACCCGGCAUGUGAUGCAUGUCACUCAUUACUGUUAAGGUAAUGAAGAGGAAGACGCAGUGAACUGAAACAUCUAAGUAGCUGCAGGAAGAGAAAGCAAACGCGAUUGCCUUAGUAGCGGCGAGCGAACUGGCAAGAGGGCAAACCGAUGUGUUUACACAUCGGGGUUGUAGGACUGCGUUGUGGGAAGUCAAGAUUAUAGAAGAAUUACCUGGGAAGGUAAGCCAAAGAGAGUAACAGCCUCG
rnacentral:rRNA from 1 species